CAGUAGCCGCGGGAACACGUAGGGUGCGAGCGUUAAUCGGAAUUACUGGGCGUAAAGCGUGCGCAGGCGGUUGUGUAAGACAGGUGUGAAAUCCCCGGGCUUAACCUGGGAACUGCGCUUGUGACUGCACAGCUAGAGUAUGGCAGAGGGGGGUGGAAUUCCACGUGUAGCAGUGAAAUGCGUAGAGAUGUGGAGGAACACCGAUGGCGAAGGCAGCCCCCUGGGCCAAUACUGACGCUCAUGCACGAAAGCGUGGGGAGCAAACAGGAUUAGAUACCCGCGUAGUCCCUGUCUCUUAUAC
rnacentral:rRNA from 1 species